rnacentral:lncRNA from 1 species
UUCUAAAUAAUAUAAAAAAGAAGAUGUGGUAUGAUUGCCAAUGAGACAACUAUCCACAAAAGACCAAAAUGACACAUACAUUAACAACUAUAGGUCACCAUACGGCCUUCAACAAUGAGCAAAGCCCAUACCACAUAGUCAGCUAUAAUAGGCCCCGAUAAGACAAUGUAAAACAAUUCAAACGAGAAAACUAACGGCCUUAUUUAUGUAAAAAAUGAACGAAAAACAAAUAUGUAACACAUAAACAAACGACAACCACUGAAUUACAGGCUCCUGACUUGGGACAGGCACAUACAUAAAUAAUGUGGCGGGGUUAAACAUGUUAGCGGGAUCCCAACCCCCCCC